GAUGAACGCUGGCGGCGUGCUUAACACAUGCAAGUCGAACGGGAAACCUUUUAUUGAAGCUUCGGCAGAUUUAGCUGGUUUCUAGUGGCGGACGGGUGAGUAACGCGUGGGUAACCUGCCUUAUACAGGGGGAUAACAGUCAGAAAUGGCUGCUAAUACCGCAUAAGCGCACAGAGCUGCAUGGCUCAGUGUGAAAAACUCCGGUGGUAUAAGAUGGACCCGCGUUGGAUUAGCUGGUUGGUGGGGUAACGGCCCACCAAGGCGACGAUCCAUAGCCGGCCCGAGAGGGUGAACGGCCACAUUGGGACUGAGACACGGCCCAGACUCCUACGGGAGGCAGCAGUGGGGAAUAGUGCACAAUGGGGGAAACCCUGAUGCAGCGACGCCGCGUGAAGGAAGAAGUAUCUCGGUAUGUAAACUUCUAUCAGCAGGGAAGAUAAUGACGGUACCUGACUAAGAAGCCCCGGCUAACUACGUG
rnacentral:rRNA from 1 species